rnacentral:lncRNA from 1 species
AUACAUUAAGAAUUAUAUACAAUCUUUGUGUCUCCAAUGCUCAACUUCUAAAAGCAUGCAUCAAUUGUCAAAAAAAAAAAAAAAAUCCAAAACCAUGUACAUAUUACAUUGCCUAGAGACUAUUAUCUGUAGUGUCCUUAUUCCACACAAUUAGAAACAUAAGUAGUAUUUCAGAUUCAUGAAAAAACUGAAAAUGAAUUAAGACUCUUAGUAUUUCUGUUGCACAUAUUGCAUCUAAAAAUUCUCAACUAAUAUGACAAAAAGAAAAUAGAAAUAAAAGAGAGGUGGCUACCACACUAUGAACAACUCUCGUAGUAUUCUUAUAAAGAAAUUGUAACUUAAAAAAGAAAAAAAAUCAUUUGUUGGUAUCAAAAGUUACUCAUUGGAAAUUUAGAAGCAUUUAAGUUUAAAAAGAGAGAAAAAAAUGUUUAAUUUCUCUAUAUGCAUCAAAAAUAAAAAUGUUUAAUAAAAAUGUUUAAUAUUAGACUUUGAUUUUGUUACUUUGCUACACAUAUUUGUCAAAAGACACUUGGAACACAAAAACAACAUUCUAAACCAAAAUCCAAUUUUGAUUUCAAAUUAAAAAUCAUCACUUAUAUACAUUCAAAAAUAAAAACUAUAAGUAGAUAAAGGUAUAUCUGAAUAACAAAAGUUCAAUGAAUUAUACUCUUUUAUUGGGAAUACGAAAGACAAGCAUGAGCAAUUUGGAGAAAUGAAAAGCAAAAGAGAAAGAGAAAUUCAAGCAAGAGAAAUGGGAAGAUAGAAGACAUCAAUUUUGUUGAAACUACAGAGGUCAUGAAUGCUCCAAUUUUUAAAUCUUUAUAGAGAUGUGAGUUUUCACUUGGAAG